rnacentral:rRNA from 1 species
UACGGAGGAUGCGAGCGUUAUCCGGAUUUAUUGGGUUUAAAGGGUGCGUAGGCGGCUUUUUAAGUCAGCGGUGAAAUUUUGCAGCUUAACUGUAACAGUGCCGUUGAUACUGGGGAGCUAGGAUUUGGUUGCUGUGGGUGGAAUGUGUGGUGUAGCGGUGGAAUGCGCAGAGAUCAGGAGGAAUACCGAAGGCGAAGGCAGUCUUCCAAGCCGUUAUUGACGCUCAAAUGCGAAGGUGUGGGUAUCAAACAGGAUUAGAUACCCGCGUAGU